UACAGAGGGUGCGAGCGUUGUUCGAAAUUACUGGGCGUAAAGCGCGCGCAGGCGGCUCUUUAAGUCUACCCGUGAAAUGCCGGAGCUCAACUCCGUGCACGCCGGGGGAUACUGGAGAGCUGGAGACGAGUAGAGGCAAGCGGAAUUCCGGGUGUAGCGGUGGAAUGCGUAGAGAUCCGGAAGAACACCGGAGGCGAAGGCGGCUUGCUGGGCUUGGUCUGACGCUGAGGCGCGAAAGCGUGGGGAGCGAACAGG
rnacentral:rRNA from 1 species